CUUCCAGACCUGCCCUGGGGAAGGACGCUCACAUCGCAAGGCGCAGCAGGAGGGGAUUUGUGCAAAGGUUAAAGACUGAGGGACAACUCCGGAGUGCAGAGGAGCAGGGGAGGGGUAGAGAGGAGCAGCAGGGAGCGCUUGGAGCUGUUAUUCCCCGGCUGACGCCACCGAGCCCUGCGGAGCGAGCCGGGCACAUGUUGCCAAGAGAGCACCAGCACCACCUCAGCCAAGCGCCCUCCCUGCUGCCCUCGGAAAGCAGAACAAAGCAGCUUCUGGCCCCAGCCAAGCCUGUUCCCACAUUCCUGCUCCCUCGCUGCCGGGCACAGCCACCCCUGAAACCUUUCUCCUUAAAAGUCUUUCCCCAGGGCUCCUCCGCUGCUCCGGGCACGACUCAAGUUACACGGAGCGGCGAGCUUCAGGAGAAGGAUCUGACCUUCAGGGACAGGCAGAGGGGGGGAGAAAAAAAUGCAAAAAGAGCACAUGAUGCAGGGAAAUGGGUGCGAAGAAAUAGGAGAAAGGGAAGGACAAGUGGCGCUCGCAUCUGCUGUCCUGCCAAGGAGACGGGCUCGGGGUAUUUGUAGCUGGUGACAAAAUAACUCCGAGAGGAGCAGCCAUCACCAGGGGGUGUACGCGGCGCACCGGCUGCGAGGAUGGAAAAGCAAACAAGUGUAAAGGAUGGUCAAAAACACAGGAGCCUUCCCGUUCGAUGAAUGAAGAAGCUACAGGUUCAUUUCACAGCUCUCUCAACCAUCCCGGACGCUCAAACCGAGUGCCGAGACCCGCCGCUUCUGCCUUCCCUCCGUGCAGGGAACAACAGGCGAGAAGGAGGAGAAGGGAUGGGAUGGAGCGGUGCGCUCCGUGCGAACUUCCAGCCCUUCCCCAGGAUAAAAUAUCCCGAGGGUGGGGGAAAAAAUAAAAAAAAAAGGAGGGGGA